rnacentral:rRNA from 1 species
AAGUGACGCGGUAGAGGAGCGUUCUGUAAGCCUGUGAAGGUGAGUUGAGAAGCUUGCUGGAGGUAUCAGAAGUGCGAAUGCUGACAUGAGUAACGACAAUGGGUGUGAAAAACACCCACGCCGAAAGACCAAGGGUUCCUGCGCAACGUUAAUCGACGCAGGGUUAGUCGGUUCCUAAGGCGAGGCUGAAAAGCGUAGUCGAUGGGAAACAGGUUAAUAUUCCUGUACUUCUGGUUACUGCGAUGGAGGGACGGAGAAGGCUAGGCCAGCUUGGCGUUGGUUGUCCAAGUUUAAGGUGGUAGGCUGAAAUCUUAGGUAAAUCCGGGGUUUCAAGGCCGAGAGCUGAUGACGAGUCGUCUUUUAGAUGACGAAGUGGUUGAUGCCAUGCUUCCAAGAAAAGCUUCUAAGCUUCAGGUAACCAGGAACCGUACCCCAAACCGACACAGGUGGUCGGGUAGAGAAUACCAAGGCGCUUGAGAGAACUCGGGUGAAGGAACUAGGCAAAAUGGCACCGUAACUUCGGGAGAAGGUGCGCCGGCUAGGGUGAAGGAUUUACUCCGUAAGCUCUGGCUGGUCGAAGAUACCAGGCCGCUGCGACUGUUUAUUAAAAACACAGCACUCUGCAAACACGAAAGUGGACGUAUAGGGUGUGACGCCUGCCCGGUGCCGGAAGGUUAAUUGAUGGGGUUAGCGCAAGCGAAGCUCUUGAUCGAAGCCCCGGUAAACGGCGGCCGUAACUAUAACGGUCCUAAGGUAGCGAAAUUCCUUGUCGGGUAAGUUCCGACCUGCACGAAUGGCGUAACGAUGGCGGCGCUGUCUCCACCCGAGACUCAGUGAAAUUGAAAUCGCUGUGAAGAUGCAGUGUAUCCGCGGCUAGACGGAAAGACCCCGUGAACCUUUACUGUAGCUUUGCACUGGACUUUGAGCCUGCUUGUGUAGGAUAGGUGGGAGGCUUUGAAGCGUGGACGCCAGUUCGCGUGGAGCCAUCCUUGAAAUACCACCCUGGCAUGCUUGAGGUUCUAACUCUGGUCCGUGAUCCGGAUCGAGGACAGUGUAUGGUGGGCAGUUUGACUGGGGCGGUCUCCUCCUAAAGAGUAACGGAGGAGUACGAAGGUGCGCUCAGACCGGUCGGAAAUCGGUCGCAGAGUAUAAAGGCAAAAGCGCGCUUGACUGCGAGACAGACACGUCGAGCAGGUACGAAAGUAGGUCUUAGUGAUCCGGUGGUUCUGUAUGGAAGGGCCAUCGCUCAACGGAUAAAAGGUACUCCGGGGAUAACAGGCUGAUACCGCCCAAGAGUUCAUAUCGACGGCGGUGUUUGGCACCUCGAUGUCGGCUCAUCACAUCCUGGGGCUGAAGCCGGUCCCAAGGGUAUGGCUGUUCGCCAUUUAAAGUGGUACGCGAGCUGGGUUUAGAACGUCGUGAGACAGUUCGGUCCCUAUCUGCCGUGGACGUUUGAGAUUUGAGAGGGGCUGCUCCUAGUACGAGAGGACCGGAGUGGACGAACCUCUGGUGUUCCGGUUGUCACGCCAGUGGCAUUGCCGGGUAGCUAUGUUCGGAAAAGAUAACCGCUGAAAGCAUCUAAGCGGGAAACUUGCCUCAAGAUGAGAUCUCACUGGGAACUUGAUUCCCCUGAAGGGCCGUCGAAGACUACGACGUUGAUAGGCUGGGUGUGUAAGCGUUGUGAGGCGUUGAGCUAACCAGUACUAAUUGCCCGUGAGGCUUGACCAU